ACGGGUGAGUAACACGUGGGAACGUACCCUUUGGUUCGGAAUAACGCUGGGAAACUAGCGCUAAUACCGGAUACGCCCUUUUGGGGAAAGGCUUGCUGCCGAAGGAUCGGCCCGCGUCUGAUUAGCUAGUUGGUGGGGUAACGGCCUACCAAGGCGACGAUCAGUAGCUGGUCUGAGAGGAUGAUCAGCCACACUGGGACUGAGACACGGCCCAGACUCCUACGGGAGGCAGCAGUGGGGAAUAUUGGACAAUGGGCGCAAGCCUGAUCCAGCCAUGCCGCGUGAGUGAUGAAGGCCUUAGGGUUGUAAAGCUCUUUUGUCCGGGACGAUAAUGACGGUACCGGAAGAAUAAGCCCCGGCUAACUUCGUGCCAGCAGCCGCGGUAAUACGAAGGGGGCUAGCGUUGCUCGGAAUCACUGGGCGUAAAGGGCGCGUAGGCGGCCAUUCAAGUCGGGGGUGAAAGCCUGUGGCUCAACCACAGAAUUGCCUUCGAUACUGUUUGGCUUGAGUAUGGCAGAGGUUGGUGGAACUGCGAGUGUAGAGGUGAAAUUCGUAGA
rnacentral:rRNA from 1 species